UGCGUAGGCGGCUUUGCAAGUUGGGUGUGAAAGCCCUCGGCUCAACCGAGGAAUGCGCUCAAUACUGCCGAGCUCGAGAGAGACAGAGGUAAGCGGAACUGAUGGUGGAGCGGUGAAAUGCGUUGAUAUCAUCAGGAACACCGGUGGCGAAGGCGGCUUACUGGGUCUUUUCUGACGCUGAGGCACGAAAGCCAGGGGAGCGAACG
rnacentral:rRNA from 1 species